rnacentral:rRNA from 1 species
CCUACGGGAGGCAGCAGUGAGGAAUAUUGGUCAAUGGCCGGAAGGCUGAACCAGCCAAGUCGCGUGAGGGACGACUGCCCUAUGGGUUGUAAACCUCUUUUAUAAGGGCAGAAUAAAUGCUACGUGUAGCAUGAUGCCUGUACCUUAUGAAUACGCAUCGGCUAACUCCGUGCCAUCAGCCGCGGUAAUACGGAGGAUGCGAGCGUUAUCGGGAUUUAUUGGGUUUAAAGGGUGGGUGGGCGGUUUAUUAAGUUAGUGGUUAAACGCCGGGGAUUCACCUUGAGUUGCCACGAAGACUGUAAGACUCGAGUUCAGACGAGGUAAGGGAAAUAAGUUAAGUAGAGGUGAAAUGCUUAGAUA